UGGGGAAUAUUGGACAAUGGGUGAGAGCCUGAUCCAGCCAUGCCGCGUGCAGGAUGAAGUAUUUCGGUAUGUAAACUUCGAAAGAAUAGGAAGAAUAAAUGACGGUACUAUUUAUAAGGUCCGGCUAACUACGUGCCAGCAGCCGCGGUAAUACGUAGGGACCAAGCGUUGUUCGGAUUUACUGGGCGUAAAGGGCGCGUAGGCGGCGUGGUAAGUCACUUGUGAAAUCUCCGAGCUUAACUCGGAACGGUCAAGUGAUACUGCUGUGCUAGAGUACAGAAGGGGCAAUCGGAAUUCUUGGUGUAGCGGUGAAAUGCGUAGAUAUCAAGAGGAACACCUGAGGUGAAGACGGGUUGCUGGGCUGAUACUGACGCUGAGGCGCGAAAGCUAGGGUAGCAAACGGGAUUAGAUACCCCCGUAGUCCCUGAGCGGGCUGGCAAGGCGCAU
rnacentral:rRNA from 1 species